rnacentral:lncRNA from 1 species
CAGGUGCAGGCAGAGGUCUGUUUGGAAAACACAUCAUGGGACCCACCCUGAUCCCUAGCACUGGAACCUGAGCUGGAGGCUGGGCACCUAUGAUGGGCACCUGAAGCUCUUGGAAUCUGCUGAGGGGAUUAUGCAGGCAGCCCCAUGUGGAACAUGCUCGAGUUCAGGUGUCAUCAGCUGCACUGAGAGCCACGCAGUAUGACUCUGCAGAUGACCCCAGCAUAGGCCAUCAGAAGGUCGAAGAGAAGGUCCACUGCAGAUCCCAGCUCUGCCUCUGACAGUCACAUCCCCCUGCCAGCUUCAUCAUCUCGGAAUGAGGUCUCUGUGGCCAGGAUAUUACAAAGCACAGCUAUAAUCCCUCAGCUUCUGCUAAAUCAGUUUGUGUUGAUGACUGACCAAGUGCAGGCCCAGACGUAGCCAAACACUGUGCAGACAGCUUCCCAGGGUGGCAGUGACCUGGGUAGGCAGAAUUGGCACUACCUGAAGGACACGUACAAAACACUGUCUUCAUGCAGGGUAUUUUAGAAAUGCAAGUAACCCUCAUCUUGAAGUUGCUGGAGAGCCCAUCUUGGCUUUGCAAUCUGACCAGGACCAAGAUGUUUCCUUUUUGCCACCCUAGAACCAAGCGACAGAGUCUUCUGGACCCUACUGCACCAGGAAAACAGGAUAGACUCCUCUGGGAAGGUUGUUUCAUGCCUGGCACCUUUGGCUUGUGACCUGAAGGGGAACUGAUUGUAUUUUAUCUGCUGAAGAAGAAAAGAUUUCUGAAACUUCCGCAUUGUGCACCCAAAUGACAGACCCCUUUCCUGUCUGAGGCUCCCAGACUGAAUCUCGGUGGGGACUUAAGUGCAGAUGGCUAGGCCUGUGCCACAUUCCCCAGCCCCGCAGGCCUGACCCAGGACACCUUGUGGACAGGGUGCAGGCCUGCCAGCAACUUGUUUUGUUCAAGACAGACUGUAUUCGAGUCUCCCCUCCCGAUCGCUUAUUAGAAGCUCUGAAAUCUUUACUAGACUUGCAUAUUUGUUUCCCUUUUGCUUUUAUAUAAAAUAUAGUUUAUGGUGUUAUAUUUAUUUUUAACUGAGAUACUGUACAUAUGUAAAUAACUUUUUUUUUAUUUUUAGAUAAGAUCUCACUAAGUUGCUCAAGCUGGCCUUGAACUUGGGAUCCAUCUGCCUCAGCCUCCCAAGCAGCCGGGAUUACAGGCUUUGUGCACUGCCAUGCCCAGCUUGUAAAUAGCUCUUGACAGGAAGAAAAUAUAUGAAUGUAAUAUUAGCUUCCUAUCAGUGAACUGAACAAAUAUAUCAUUGAAAUUUAUGCUGCAAUCUGAGUUGCUGCAAACAUAGCCCAGUUUGUUUACUUUUGAAAAAUGUGACAAAGCUACUAAGAAUGAUUUAUGGCAGGCUUUCCACUACAGUGGGUGGGACUUCUUAAGCACUCACCCUCUGCUUCUCCCCGAACUCUCCUCACAAAGAUGGCGUUGGUGUAAAGCUGAAGGAUUUUUCAUUUUUGUACAGAUACAUUGUCAACGUUUAAGAACUUGAGAGGGAAGUAGAUAACUGAGAUGCAUGGAUAUCAACUUUCAUGCUUUAGAAUACUAAAAGAUAGGAAACCAUAGUUCUGAUCAGAACUUGCCCACAAAUACCAGUGAUUCUGGGGGGUUAAAUCAUGUACUCUUCAAAUUGAUGUAAGUACACCGAACUUAGAUUUCAUGCUUUUAAAAUUUAGACUCAAAUGCUUUAGAAUUUAAACAGUUUUUUCAUUAGUUAAUAAUUCAAGGUUCUGUAAACAUUUGAUUAAACUCUGCAUGCAUAUGUCAUUGUUCUUGUUUUUCUGUUUAUCUUCUCAACAAUGGGCCCAGAGAAAAGGAAGAGUAGCCCAUGGGGGAUUUAGGAACCAGCUGCCAAGGGCCCUCUCUUCCUCUCUGAUCUUUUUUUGGUCUUUUUCUUCUUUUUU